AGUGAACGCUGGCGGUAGGCCUAACACAUGCAAGUCGAACGGCAGCACAGUAAGAGCUUGCUCUUACGGGUGGCGAGUGGCGGACGGGUGAGGAAUACAUCGGAAUCUACUUUUUCGUGGGGGAUAACGUAGGGAAACUUACGCUAAUACUGCAUACGACCUACGGGUGAAAGCAGGGGAUCUUCGGACCUUGCGCGAUUGAAUGAGCCGAUGUCGGAUUAGCUAGUUGGCGGGGUAAAGGCCCACCAAGGCGACGAUCCGUAGCUGGUCUGAGAGGAUGAUCAGCCACACUAGAACUGGGACACGGUCCAGACUCCUACGCGAGGCAGCAGUGGGGAAUAUUGGACAAUGGGAGCAAGCCUGAUCCAGCCAUACCGCGUGCGUGAAGAAGGCCUUCGGGUUGUAAAGCCCUUUUGUUGGGAAAGAAAAGCAGCAGGUUAAUACCCCGCUGUUCUGACGGUACCCAAAGAAUAAGCACCGGCUAACUUCGUG
rnacentral:rRNA from 1 species